CAGCAGCCGCGGUAAUACGAAGGGGGCUAGUGUUGUUCGGAAUUACUGGGCGUAAAGGGCGCGUAGGCGGCCAUUCAAGUUAGAUGUGAAAGCCCUGGGCUCAACCUAGGAAUUGCAUUUGAUACUGUUUGGCUUGAGUUCGGGAGAGGUGAGUGGAAUUCCCAGUGUAGAGGUGAAAUUCGUAGAGAUCGGAAGGAACACCAGUGGCGAAGGCGGCUACCUGGACAAAUACUGACGCUGAGGCGCGAAAGCGUGGGGAGCAAACAGGAUUAGAUACCCCCGUAGUCCCUGUCUCUUAUAC
rnacentral:rRNA from 1 species